ACAAAAACAAUCACUUAUUUACCAGAAAAUAAAAAACUUUAGAAUGGAAAGUUUGAAUGUUUAUGCACGGGGUGCAAUAGAUUUAAUAUCAGCCAUUGAUUUAAUCCAAUGGUUUUAAAGGGUUGCCACGUCAUCGAUCCGUGUCUCACUAAUUUUUUUCUCCACUUUCUCCCACUUCUCUUCCCUUUCUCUUUUCAGAUUCACCAAAUUUCAAAAAAUUUUCUCUCUUCCACCAAGCAUUGGGUAGGACACCAGCGUCGAAUCUCCAUGAUCUUGGCUACAAAUGGAACCCUCAAAGGCCAACAUGACCACCACCAGCGGUGCUUGCCGGUCUGACCUUCUCCUCUCUCUCUCUGUUUUCUCGUUCUCUCAGGUUCAACUGUGGCCAAGCUUCUGCUUGCCCCUUCUUUAGCAAUGCUUCUCAGCGGCAUCACUGGUGCUGGUGGCCGUUGGUUAAGAAGCGGGAGGCACACCAGCUGGAACUUAAUGAGCAGGUCAUGCCAUUUAAGGUUGUUGAAGAACUUGAUCUUGAAGCUUACAAGACCUUCUUUUUUUCUUUUGUGGGAAUUGUGUAUUAUGAAUUUAUGAUGAUGGGAAUAAUUUUUUCUUGUUAACAAAGUGUAUAUUUCAACAAAACUAUUGUUAUAUGGCCUUGUGGUCAAGGUGUACAUUCUAAUAAAGUUUUGUUCAUUUUUAUAUCAAA